rnacentral:rRNA from 1 species
ACGGCUCAGUAACACGUGGAUAACCUGCCCUUGGGUCCGGCAUAACUCCGGGAAACUGGAGAUAAUUCCGGAUAACGCACAUAUGCUGGAAUGCUUUAUGCGUAAAAUGGAUUCGUCUGCCCAAGGAUGGGUCUGCGGCCUAUCAGGUAGUAGUGGGUGUAAUGUACCUACUAGCCAACAACGGGUACGGGUUGUGAGAGCAAGAGCCCGGAGAUGGAUUCUGAGACAUGAAUCCAGGCCCUACGGGGCGCAGCAGGCGCGAAAACUUUACAAUGCGGGAAACCGUGAUAAGGGGACACCGAGUGCCAGCAUCAUAUGCUGGCUGUCCAGGUGUGUAAAAUACACCUGUUAGCAAGGGCCGGGCAAGACCGGUGCCAGCCGCCGCGGUAACACCGGCGGCCCGAGUGGUGAUCGUGAUUAUUGGGUCUAAAGGGUCCGUAGCCGGUUUGGUCAGUCCUCCAGGAAAUCUGAUAGCUCAACUAUUAGGCUUUCGGGGGAUACUGCCAGGCUUGGAACCGGGAGAGGUAAGAGGUACUACAGGGGUAGGAGUGAAAUCUUGUAAUCCCUGUGGGACCACCUGUGGCGAAGGCGUCUUACCAGAACGGGUUCGACGGUGAGGGACGAAAGCUGGGGGCACGAACCGGAUUAGAUACCCGGGUAGUCCCAGCCGUAAACGAUGCUCGCUAGGUGUCAGGCAUGGCGCGACCGUGUCUGGUGCCGCAGGGAAGCCGUGAAGCGAGCCACCUGGGAAGUACGGCCGCAAGGCUGAAACUUAAAGGAAUUGGCGGGGGAGCAC